GUAUUAAGGUCUUCGGCAGUACAUAAACUUAAAUCUGACUAGACAUAGAGAGAGAUUAGCAUGGCUCUGCGCAAGAAUGACAUGCGAAUUCGUGAAGUAUUUCACUCUGUA